CUGGCAACCAGCUUAUCAAUAAUUUUUUAAUGUUUUACACAUUUUACUAAUUAUCUGUAUUUUUCCCCGCUCAGCUUAAUUAUUAUCUAGGCAAAAACAGUUGCCGGCUCAUCUUCCUUGGGUGCGUGUGAGAACUGGUUUCCAACCGAAAUCCUUCUCUCCAGAGCUCUUUUCGACAUGUCAUCAUAUCACAUUAAAUACGAGCUUGCCAAGGAAAGUAUUGUUGACAGUCCCGUGGGAAGUUUCUCCUUAAUCCACCACAUGCAGUCGGACUGGACCCAUUGGCUGGUUUUCCUUGUACGACUUGUCGCCUGGAAGAAUUUCAAGAGGCUCGUUCUUAGGAGUCCAGUCAAAGUCCUUAUUAUCUCCUCGCGACUUCCUCCAGUUGGCAGAUUUUAGUAUGGCCAAUAAAGAUUUUGAAAUGUCGGGGCAGUGGCUGCAGAUUGCUAUAUCCUUGCUAGAAAGUCCCAGCUAUCAAAAUGUAAAAUAUCAGCUUAAGAGGAACGGGAGUCUUCAUUGUUUUAACCAGCACAGAAGUGGAUUUCCCUCCUUGUUAUUCACUCUGUUGAAGGCAGAGAUACUCCUUGUUGAUCCCUUGACGGUUUUUUACCACGAAACCCCUAAAUAAUUUGAAUCUUUUAUAUAAAUAAAACGUUGAGAACAUCUGUUAAUUUGGAAGAAAUAAGA